UCUGAGAGUAGAUCUGCUCCACUGCAACAUCCACAAUGUCCAUGUUUACAGGUGCAUGUCUUUGGAAGUGGGAGGAAGCCAGAGUACCCGGAGGGAACCCACGCAGUCGCGGGGAGAACAUGCAAACUCCACACAGAAAGAAGAGGAACCCCAGACUACUCAGGACCUUCGUACUGUAAGGCAGAUGCACUAACCCCUCUUCCACCGUGCUGCCCACAUGCCAGGGCUAUUUUUGUUUUUGUUUUCAUUUUCAAAAUAAAUGCAAUGUGUAUUGUAACCCUUAGGGUAGGGUUCCCUAAACUACAGACCCGUGUGUCCAAACAUUCGCGGAACAUCCUAAGUUUAAAUAUAUACUGUAUAUAUUUUAUUGUAUUUAAAAAAAAAAUCUGUCUAGUGGAGCCGCUCAGGCAAAUCAUAUUGUUGAUUGUAUGUAAUAAUAUAUAACAGUAUAUAUUAUUUACUAUUACAAACCAUCCUAGUCACUGCCAUGUUUUUUUUAUUCAUUAUUAAUAUAAACUUGUCAACCUUUUGUCAUUUCAUGAUGCCUUUGUCUCUAUUUUUACAUUUUGAUAGAAGAAGGUAUUAUUAUUUUUUAUUUUUUAAGUUAUGCACAUUUAUAUGUACAUGAGAAUGCAGUAUCGGGACAGAUCUAUUUGGAGUUUGAGCAGAAAUAUGUCAUAUAGGAAUUAACUAUUUACCAUAAAACAUUAACAAAAUGUUGUGUCACAUGAAUGUUUAUUGAAGUAAUGCCUUUGUGACAUGAAGACAACACAAGUAAUCUAUAAAAACCUUGUGUUUACUUAUUGAAAUAAAACACUAAUGAAGAUGACAA